rnacentral:rRNA from 1 species
ACGCUGGCGGCACGCCUAAUACAUGCAAGUCGAACGGAGUAGCAAUACUUAGUGGCAGACGGGUGAGUAACAUGUGGGUAUCUUCCCUUUGGUGAGGAAUAACACGAGGAAACUUGUGCUAAUACCUCAUAAGUCUUUACGGAGAAAGCUUUAUGCGCCAAUGGAUGAGCCCGCACUUGAUUAGUUUGUUGGUGGGGUAAUGGCCUACCAAGACUGUGAUCAAUAGCUGAUUUGAGAGGAUGAUCAGCCACAUUGGGACUGAGACACGGCCCAAACUCCUACGGGAGGCAGCAGUAGGGAAUCUUGCACAAUGGAGGAAACUCUGAUGCAGCGAUGCCGCGUGAGUGAAGAAGGCCCUUGGGUUGUAAAGCUCUUUCGUCGGGGAAGAAAAUGACUGUACCCGAAUAAGAAGGUCCGGCUAACUUCGUGCCAGCAGCCGCGGUAAUACGAAGGGACCUAGCGUAGUUCGGAAUUACUGGGCUUAAAGAGUUCGUAGGUGGUUAAAAAAGUUGGUGGUGAAAGCCCAGAGCUUAACUCUGGAACUGCCAUCAAAACUUUUUAGCUAGAGUUUGAUAGAGGAAAGCAGAAUUUCUAGUGUAGAGGUGAAAUUCGUAGAUAUUAGAAAGAAUACCAAUUGCGAAGGCAGCUUUCUGGAUCAUUACUGACACUGAGGAACGAAAGCAUGGGUAGCGAAGAGGAUUAGAUACCCUCGUAGUCCAUGCCGUAAACGAUGUGUGUUAGAUGUUGGAAAUUUAUUUUCAGUAUCACAGCGAAAGCAAUAAACACACCGCCUGGGGAGUACGACCGC